CCUACGGGUGGCAGCAGUGAGGAAUAUUGGUCAAUGGGAGAGAUCCUGAACCAGCCAAGCCGCGUGAGGGAAGACGGCCCUAGGGGUUGUAAACCUCUUUUGUCGGAGAACAAAACCCGGGAAGUGUCCCGGACUGCGUGUAUCCGAAGAAAAAGCAUCGGGUAACUCCGUGCCAGCAGCCGCGGUAAGACGGAGGAUGCGAGCGUUAUCCGGAAUUAUUGGGUUUAAAGGGUGCGUAGUCGUUCCGUUAAGUCAGAGGUAAAAUAGCGGGGCUCAACUCCGUCGAGCCGUUGACACUGGCAGACUUGAGUUGGCGAGAGGUGCGCGGAAUGCGCGGUGUAGCGGUGAAAUGCAUAGAUAUCGCGCAGAACUCCGAUGGCGAAGGCAGCGUACCGGCGCCAGACUGACGCUGAGGCACGAAAGCGUGGGGAUCGAACAGGAUUAGAUACCCGAGUAGUC
rnacentral:rRNA from 1 species